rnacentral:tRNA from 1 species
GAGCCAUUAGCUCAGUUGGUAGAGCAUCUGACUUUUAAUCAGAGGGUCGAAGGUUCGAGUCCUUCAUGCUCA